GACAGAGGGUGCAAACGUUGUUCGGAUUUACUGGGCGUAAAGCGCGUGUAGGCGGCUUCGUAAGUUGGAUGUGAAAUCCCACGGCUCAACCGUGGACGUGCAUCCAAAACUACGUCGUUGGAGUCUCGGAGAGGAAGGUGGAAUGCUUGGUGUAGAGGUGAAAUUCGUAGAUAUCAAGCAGAACACCUGCGGCGAAGGCGGCCUUCUGGACGAUGACUGACGCUGAGACGCGAAAGCGUGGGGAGCAAACAGG
rnacentral:rRNA from 1 species